rnacentral:rRNA from 1 species
GACGAACGCUGGCGGCGUGCUUAACACAUGCAAGUCGAACGGAAAGGCCCUGCUUUUGUGGGGUGCUCGAGUGGCGAACGGGUGAGUAACACGUGAGUAACCUGCCCUUGACUUUGGGAUAACUUCAGGAAACUGGGGCUAAUACCGGAUAGGAGAUCCUGCUGCAUGGUGGGGGUUGGAAAGUUUCGGCGGUUGGGGAUGGACUCGCGGCUUAUCGGCUUGUUGGUGGGGUAGUGGCUUACCAAGGCUUUGACGGGUCGGCGGCCUGAGAGGGUGACCGGCCACAAUGGGACUGAGAUACGGCCCAGACUCCUACGGGAGGCAGCAGUGGGGAAUAUUGCACAAUGGGCGGAAGCCUGAUGCAGCAACGCCGCGUGCGGGAUGACGGCCUUCGGGUUGUAAACCGCUUUCGCCUGUGACGAAGCGGGAGUGACGGUAAUGGGUAAAGAAGCACCGGCUAACUACGUG